GUGUUUGCUUGGCACCGGCUUCAAUGCAAACAGCAGUGCAUUGUCAAAGCAGCCGAGCGCGAGCGUACUGACCCUUGCGAAUUCCCCAAAUGUGGGAAUCUCGACUGCAUAAUUUCUGUUAGUGGGGGACUGCGUACGCGCUCUCCCCUG
rnacentral:snRNA from 1 species